GUGACAUAACACCUGUAAACAGUCCGUGUUGAAACUCAUUUGAAGAUGCGUGCUGAGUGCUCUGCCUCUUUUCACUGCCGAGCCUAACGUUACUUCCUGGUGGAUGAGACAGCGCCUCAGUGUUGUCGUAGUAAGCAGACUGGGCAACUGAAGUGAAGGUGGAGGCGGCUGUUGAUGGUCAGCAGUCACAUUACAGCAGUUAACGAGCACACUUUUUUCUGUUUUCGCUCCUUUGAAGACAAAAAUGGGAAGCACGGUGAUGGAGUCCAGCAAGGAGAGCUCAAAGAAAAUACCAAAGAAGAGGAGAAGUCUGAGGAUUAACAUGCCAGAGUUGGGUGCGUUUACUUCCCCACAAGUGGAGACGAGUGGCUCCACCAAAAGUGGUGCUCAGACGGGAGAGCGCCACAUCCGAUCAGCCAGCCCCACCAAGGGAGUGUCUGCCAGGAGCCCAGCCAGCGCCCUUCUCCCCCCAUGUCCUCAUUCAGCUCCAGUGCAAUCGAAGACCAGCUCAGGUUCACCCAAAACUAUCUUCCCCUACCCCCCCCAUCAGAACCCCUCUCCCAAGUCCCCCCAUCGCCUAAGCUUCAGUGGUAUCUUCCGCUCCUCAUCCAGCUCCACACCUGCAAGCAUCAAAAUUUUCUCCAGAACCAGGAGAGCCUCAGGACUCUCCACACCACCCGCCACCCCAACCCAGUCAUCUAGCCAGCCUGUGUUCUCCCAGGAGGCCCAGUCAAGCAGGCCCAGCCCUGAACGCCUGGAGAUGAGCUCCCGAUCCCGCUCGCUCUUCACACCUCCAGACACAGGACAGCGCCUCACCCUUCCCUCUGCUAAACCACCGAUCACUUCCUUGAGCCCCGUGCCAUCUACCUCACAACAAGUCUACGGUUUAUUCGAAGGCAUGCUGGAGAAACUUGAACUAGAUGAUGAUGCUGCUGAACCUGAGAGUGAUAUUUACAUGCGCUUUAUGAAAUCCCACAAGUGCUACGACAUCGUCCCCACAAGUUCCAAGCUGGUUGUGUUCGACACGGCACUCCAAGUUAAGAAAGCUUUCUUUGCCUUGGUAGCCAACGGUGUGCGAGCUGCUCCACUAUGGGACACAGAGAAGCAAAGUUUUGUGGGAAUGCUGACAAUCACAGAUUUCAUCAUCAUACUACACAGAUACUAUAAGUCACCGAUGGUGCAAAUUUAUGAAUUAGAGGAACAUAAGCUUGAGACAUGGAGAGAGGUUUACCUUCAAGCAACAUUCAAACCUCUGGUCAACAUAUCACCUGAUGCAAGCCUGUUUGAUGCAGUGUACACCCUCAUCAAAAACAAAAUUCACCGCCUGCCUGUCAUCGACCCCGUCACGGGGAACGCACUUUAUAUUCUCACACACAAGAGGAUCCUCAAGUUCCUCCAGCUUUUUAUGUGUGAAAUGCCAAAGCCAGCUUUCAUGAAGCAGACUCUCGGGGAGCUGGGCAUUGGCACGUACCAUGACAUUGCUUUCAUCCAUGCGGACACACCCAUCAUCAAAGCACUCAACAUCUUUGUGGAGAGACGAGUGUCUGCCCUGCCUGUGGUGGAUGAGUCUGGCAAAGUUGUGGACAUUUACUCAAAGUUUGAUGUGAUUAACUUGGCUGCUGAGAAGACGUACAACAACCUGGACAUCACAGUGACACAGGCUCUGAAACAUCGCUGUCAGUACUUCGAAGGAGUCAUGAAGUGCCACAAAAUGGAAACAAUGGAGACAAUUGUGGACAGAAUAGUCAAAGCUGAAGUGCAUCGUUUGGUGGUGGUGGACGAGCGCUCCAGCAUCGAAGGCAUCGUCUCUCUGUCAGACAUCCUCCAGGCCCUGGUGCUCAGCCCUGCAGGUAUAGAUGCUCAGCAUUGCUAGCACCAACUCCCCUUCUGUCCUGGACCCUGAGCUCUCUCCCCACCCUGCCCUCUAACCCUGUCCUGGAUGCCUGUAAGGAGGAAAACCUGACUGAGUGAGAGGGAGGAAGCAUCAGCUGGUGGAGUCAUGGGAGGAAAUAAGUUUGGGGUUGGCUUGAGGUAAUAAUGUUAGUGUAGGGAGCGUGAGGUUGAGUAGAGCCAGCCUAAAGGUUCCAGCAGCGCCUUCAACUGAUGCACUAAAGAGGCUUAGAAACCAAAGAGCUAGACAGCUAAAUGAAGUGGAGUUCCUGCACUGAGGUUUGAUUUAUCUGAAUUAUUUUAGUUUUUGUUUGCUUGAACACUGAUCAGAUGCAUUAUGGUCACCAGCCGGGGAAAGAUGGGAAAGACUGGUUCUAAUGAGUUAGGGCUUCUGUGUUUUGGAGUGUGUAGUUGCUGCUGUAAUCUGAUUUUAUUUUUUUCACAUUUUGUAGUAUAUUACGAAGGUCAUCACCUCGGUGUUUUGGUAUAGAAAGGUGAACAUUCACAGAUGCAACUUAUGUUUGGUAGCAAAACUUUCACCUGCAAUGUGGCCAUUUUUUGACAUUUGCCAGUGCCAAUACAGAGAGAUUGAUGCACAAUCUUUAUUUGUGCCUUUAGUUUGCCUUGCCCACACCAGUUAAGUAUUUGUCUUUUGACAUUUAUUGUCAAAUAAGUGGAAUUAUUUGGAUUAAAAAAAUGUUAAUGAAUGUAUUAUAAGUAGCAAAUUCUACCUUCUAAAUCAAAUCAUUUCAUUUCCUUUUUUUUAUUUUGUUGCAUUUUCUGUGUCAGAAGUGUCAAGAAUUUCAUUUGAAUAGAUCCAAUUCUGAAAAGAAAAUGCUUUCCACAGAAACACGCAGUGGUCAGAGGCAAAUACAAAUAUACAUUAAUAAGGAUCAGCCAAGAGCUAUGAGUGAGUACUUCGCACUAAUUUUACAUCAUAGUGAUUUAGUCAUUGCGGCUUAAGGAUGCAUUUUUGUAAUGGUAUUACAAGACCGUCUUUUAGAUGUUUAGAAACUUUAUUUCUUUGCAUUUAUUUUCAGUUUUGACACUUCAGACAAUCUGAUACUCAAAAACUUGCAAAUCAACUGUUAUCUCAGCUGUAGCUCGACAGGACUCAUCUCCAUCUUUGACUGUGUAAAUAGGAUCGUUUUCGGGAAACGUAUCUCACAAAGCUUUAUUUUUAUGAAUGUGUCAACAUGUUUAAAGAGACUGCAGUUUUAAUGUUAUUUUUGUAAAUAUCUUGUGGCAAUAUGUCCAGUUCAAAGAGACUUUGUAACAGAUCAACAUGUACUGUAAAUGUGCAAGCAUGAGAAACUACACUUAGGCAGUAUGAAUGUUCUUUGUUUUACUUUUUCUAUUUUUCUGGCUGCGGAAAAAUAAAUGGACACUGAAUGUA